rnacentral:rRNA from 1 species
CAGGCCUAACACAUGCAAGUCGAACGGACCCUUCGGGGUUAGUGGCGGACGGGUGAGUAACACGUGGGAACGUGCCCUUUGGUUCGGAACAACACAGGGAAACUUGUGCUAAUACCGGAUGUGCCCUUCGGGGGAAAGAUUUAUCGCCAUUGGAGCGGCCCGCGUCUGAUUAGCUAGUUGGUGAGGUAAAAGCUCACCAAGGCGACGAUCAGUAGCUGGUCUGAGAGGAUGACCAGCCACAUUGGGACUGAGACACGGCCCAAACUCCUACGGGAGGCAGCAGUGGGGAAUCUUGCGCAAUGGGCGAAAGCCUGACGCAGCCAUGCCGCGUGGAUGAUGAAGGUCUUAGGAUUGUAAAAUCCUUUCAGCGGGGACGAUAAUGACGGUACCCGCAGAAGAAGCCCCGGCUAACUUCGUGCCAGCAGCCGCGGUAAU